UACAGAGGUCUCAAGCGUUGUUCGGAUUCAUUGGGCGUAAAGGGUGUGUAGGUGGCGCCGUAAGUCGGGUGUGAAAUUUCGGAGCUUAACUCCGAAACUGCAUUCGAUACUGCCGUGCUUGAGGACUGGAGAGGAGACUGGAAUUCAUGGUGUAGCAGUGAAAUGCGUAGAGAUCAUGAGGAAGACCAGUGGCGAAGGCGGGUCUCUGGACAGUUCCUGACACUGAGGCACGAAGGCCAGGGGAGCAAACGGG
rnacentral:rRNA from 1 species